CAGCCGCCGCGGUAAUACAGAGGGUGCAAGCGUUAAUCGGAAUUACUGGGCGUAAAGCGCGCGUAGGUGGUUUGUUAAGUUGGAUGUGAAAUCCCAGGGCUCAACCUGGGAACUGCAUCCAAAACUGGCAAGCUAGAGUAUGGUAGAGGGUGGUGGAAUUUCCUGUGUAGCGGUGAAAUGCGUAGAUAUAGGAAGGAACACCAGUGGCGAAGGCGACCACCUGGACUGAUACUGACACUGAGGUGCGAAAGCGUGGGGAGCAAACAGGAUUAGAUACCCCCGUAGUCCCUGUCUCUUAUAA
rnacentral:rRNA from 1 species